rnacentral:rRNA from 1 species
AGAGUUUGAUCCUGGCUCAGAAUCAACGCUGGCGGCGUGCCUAACACAUGCAAGUCGAACGAGAAAGUGGAGCAAUCCAUGAGUAAAGUGGCGACCGGGUGAGUAACACGUGACUAACCUGCCCUAGAGUGGGGGAUAACCUCGGGAACCGGGCUAAUACCGCAUAACAUCACGAGGGGAAGAUCCUUGUGAUCAAAGGA